rnacentral:lncRNA from 1 species
GGAUUGCAGCUGACAGUGGAUCUAGAGAUCCACAGUUCACUGGGCCCCCACCCUGCCUGUCGCUCAGAAGUCUCCCCUCUGUGUGGCUUCACUCGCAGGCCGCUCCUCUGCACGGAGCAGCAGGGUGGCCGCCAUCAGCCUGGUCUCAUCUGCCCUCAGGGCUGAUGGUCCUGGACAAACAGCUGUCUCUCUGUUCAUCAAACUUGAGUUCAUAGCCUUCCAGAGGUGGCUGCAAAGCAGGCGGUGUGCUCACCUGGGCCGAUCACACCUCUGAGGGACCGAGCGCUCUGAGGACGGUGCCCCAGGUCACACCCGUGAGGGGCACACAUCCCCUGGGCUUCAGAGCAACGCAGCUGUGUCCUCUCCACAAGAGACACAUGGCUCCAGCUCCACACCCGAGCACCUGCUG